AUUGAACGCUGGCGGCAGGCCUAACACAUGCAAGUCGAGCGGAGCGGCGGACGGGUGAUUAAUGCCUAGGCAUCUGCCUGGUAGUGGGGGAUCACUUCCGGAAACGUGCGCUAAUACCGCAUACUCUCAGCUGAGCCUAGGUCGGAUUAGCUAGUUGGUGGGGUAAAGGCCUACCAAGGCGACGAUCCGUAACUGGUCUGAGCGGAUGAUCAGUCACACUGGAACGGAGACACGGUCCAGAAUCGUACGGUAGGCAGAAGUGGGGAAGAUUGGACAAUGGGCGAAAGCCUGAUCCAGCCAUGCCGGGGGUGUGAAGAAGGUCUUCGGAUUGUAAAGCACUUUAAGUUGGGAGGCGUUACCAACAGAAUAAGCACCGGCUAACUUCGUGCCAGCCGCCGCGGUAAUAC
rnacentral:rRNA from 1 species